rnacentral:tRNA from 1 species
GCUUUCGUGGUGUAGUGGUCUGCAUGUUCGACGCGUAACCGAGAGGUCCGUGGUUCGAUUCCUGGCGAAGGCG